UGGGGAAUUUUGGACAACGGGGGAAACCCUGAUCCAGCCAUCCCGCGUGUGCGAUGAAGGCCUUCGGGUUGUAAAGCACUUUUGGCAGGAAAGAAACGUCAUGGGUUAAUACCCCGUGAAACUGACGGUACCUGCAGAAUAAGCACCGGCUAACUACGUGCCAGCAGCCGCGGUAAUACGUAGGGUGCAAGCGUUAAUCGGAAUUACUGGGCGUAAAGCGUGCGCAGGCGGUUCGGAAAGAAAGAUGUGAAAUCCCAGAGCUCAACUUUGGAACUGCAUUUUUAACUACCGGGCUAGAGUGUGUCAGAGGGAGGUGGAAUUCCGCGUGUAGCAGUGAAAUGCGUAGAUAUGCGGAGGAACACCGAUGGCGAAGGCAGCCUCCUGGGAUAACACUGACGCUCAUGCAAGAAGGCGUGGGGAGCAAACAGG
rnacentral:rRNA from 1 species